rnacentral:rRNA from 1 species
UUCCUGAAGAUUGAUUUCCAUAAGGCCUACGACACUGUGAGUUGGCCCUUCCUUCGAGAAGUCCUGCUCCGGAAAGGCUUCGGCGAACGUUGGAUUACCAGAGUGAUGCAGAUAGUCUCUUGCGGUCGCACCGCCGUGAACAUCAAUGGGGAGAUUGGCCCGUACUUCCCCACCCCGUGUGGGGUCAGACAAGGCGACCCAUUCUCCCCAUUCUUGUUCAAUAUGGUGGUGGACGCGCUUGCUGCCAUCCUGGAUAAGGCGAAGGCCGCGGGCCAUAUUCAGGGGAUCACCCCCAAUUUGGCCGGUGGCGUCAGGAUCUCCCUGCUCCAGUACGCUGACGACACCAUCAUCAUGGUAGAAGGCUCGGACGCGGACAUCACGAACCUGAAGCUCCUCCUCCUCUGUUUUCAACAAAUGUCUGGCCUCAAGAUCAACUUCACAAGAGUGAUGUGA